CUGGGCGUAGCUCAGCCUGGCAAGAGCGCCGGUUUCGGGAACCGGAGAUCGCAGGUUCGAAUCCUGCCGCCCAGA
rnacentral:tRNA from 1 species